rnacentral:piRNA from 1 species
GAUUUGGAUAUUCGGACCGCCGCCUU